rnacentral:rRNA from 1 species
AUGCCGAGCUCGCCGGCGCAAAUGGCACUUGGCCGCGCGAGAUCGCCGGCGCUGGUGCUCGCCGCCGCCGUCCUUGGCGCGCUCUGCGUCGUCGCGCUCUCGGAGGAUGAGCAACUGGAGAACCUGCGGUUCGUGCAGCACGCGCAGGACGCGCCGCUGGUGUCGCACUACAACUACAUCGUGGUGGGCGGCGGCACGUCCGGGUGCCCGCUGGCGGCGACGCUGUCGGAGCACUCGCGGGUGCUGCUGCUGGAGCGCGGGGGCCUCCCCUACCGCAACAUGUCCAACCAGGAGCACUUCACGGACGCGCUGGCCGACACGUCGCUGGCGUCCCCGGCGCAGCGGUUCGUGUCCACGGACGGCGUGGUGAACGCGCGGGCGCGGGUGCUGGGCGGCGGGAGCUGCCUCAACGCCGGGUUCUACACGCGGGCCAGCAACGAGUACGUGCGCACGGCCGGGUGGGACGCCGGCCUCGUCAACUCGUCGUACCGGUGGGUGGAGCGCGCGCUGGUGUUCCGCCCGGACGUGCCGCCGUGGCAGGCCGCGCUCCGGGACGCGCUGCUGGAGGCCGGCGUCACCCCCGACAACGGCUUCACCUUCGACCACGUCACGGGGACCAAGAUCGGCGGCACCAUCUUCGACAACAACGGGCAGCGCCACACGGCCGCCGACUUCCUCCGGCACGCCCGGCCGCGGGGGCUCACCGUGGUGCUCUACGCCACGGUGUCGCGGGUCCUGUUCAGGAGCCAGGAGGGGGUGCCGUACCCGGUGGCGUACGGGGUGGUGUUCGCGGACCCGCUGGGGGUGCAGCACCGGGUGUACCUCCGGGACGGGGGCAAGAACGAGGUGAUCCUGUCGGCGGGGACGCUGGGGAGCCCGCAGCUGCUGAUGCUGAGCGGCGUGGGCCCGCAGGUGCACCUGGAGGCGCACGGCAUCCAGGUGCUGGUGGACCAGCCCAUGGUCGGGCAGGGCGUGGCCGACAACCCCAUGAACUCGGUCUUCAUCCCGUCGCCGGUGCCGGUGGGGCUGUCCCUGGUGCAGGUCGUCGGGAUCACCAAGUCCGGCAGCUUCAUCGAGGGCGUGAGCGGCUCCGAGUUCGGCAUCCCGGUGUCCGACGGCGCCCGCCGGCUGGCCAGCUUCGGGCUCUUCUCCCCGCAGACCGGGCAACUCGGCACGCUGCCGCCGGGGCAGAGGACGCCGGAGGCGCUGCAGCGCGCGGCGGAGGCGAUGCGGCGGCUGGACAGGCGGGCGUUCCGGGGCGGCUUCAUCCUGGAGAAGAUCCUGGGGCCGGUGUCGACGGGGCACAUCGAGCUGCGCAGCACCGACCCGCGCGCCAACCCGGCCGUGACCUUCAACUACUUCCAGGAGGCGGAGGACCUGGAGCGGUGCGUCCGGGGGAUCCAGACGAUCGAGCGGGUGAUCCAGUCGCGCGCCUUCUCCAACUUCACCUACGCCAACACCACCGUGGAGUCCAUCUUCACCGACUCGGCCAACUUCCCCGUCAACCUGCUGCCGCGCCACGUCAACGACUCCCGCUCGCCGGAGCAGUACUGCAGGGAGACCGUCAUGACCAUCUGGCACUACCACGGCGGGUGCCACGUCGGCGCCGUCGUCGACGACAACUACCGGGUGUUCGGGGUCAGGGGGCUCAGGGUCAUCGACAGCUCCACCUUCAGGUACUCCCCCGGCACCAACCCGCAGGCCACCGUCAUGAUGCUCGGCAGGUAUAUGGGCAUAAAGAUUCAGGCCGAGAGAUGGAGGAAAUGA